GUACCUUACAUGCACAAUCUGGAGACACCGCCCUUUCACGGCGGUAACAGGGGUUCGAAUCCCCUAGGGGACGCCA
rnacentral:tRNA from 1 species